rnacentral:rRNA from 1 species
GAUCCUGGCUUAGGAUGAACGCUGGCGGCGUGCUUAACACAUGCAAGUCGAACGAAUUCUUCGGAACGCGGCUCGGCAGGAGAGAGAAGUGAGUGGCGGACGGGUGAGUAACGCGUGGGUAACCUGCCUCACAUCGGGGGAUACCAGUCGGAAACGACUGCUAAAACCGCAUAAGACCACGGUAUCGCAUGAUACUGAGGCCAAAACUCCGGUGAUGUGAGAUGGACCCGCGUCUGAUUAGCCAGUUGCGGGGUAACGGCCCACCAAAGCGACGAUCAGUAGCCGACCUGAGAGGGUGAUCGGCCACAUUGGGACUGAGACACGGCCCAAACUCCUACGGGAGGCAGCAGUGGGGAAUAUUGCACAAUGGGGGAAACCCUGAUGCCAGCGACGCCGCGUGAGUGAUGAAGUAUUUCGGUACGUAAAGCUCUAUCAGCAGGAACGAUAAUGACGGUACCUGACUAAGAAGCACCGGCUAAAUACGUGCCAGCCGCCGC